CCUACGGGAGGCAGCAGUGAGGAAUAUUGGUCAAUGGGCGCGCGCCUGAACCAGCCAAGUAGCGUGAAGGAUGACUGCCCUACGGUUUGUAAACUUCUUUUAUAAAGGAAUAAAGUGAUGCACGUGUGCCUUUUUGUAUGUACUUUAUGAAUAAGGAUCGGCUAACUCCGUGACAGCAGCAGCGGUAAUACGGAGGAUUCGAGCGUUAUCCGGAUUUAUUGGGUUUAAAGGGGGCGUAGAUGGGUUGUUAAGUCAGUUGUGAAAGGUUGCGGCUCAACCGUAAAAUUGCAACUGAUACUGGCAGCCUUGAGUACAGUUGAGGUAGGCGGAAUUCGUGGUGUAGCGGUGAAAUGCUUAGAUAUCACGAAGAACUCCGAUUGCGAAGGAAGCCUACUAAACUGCCACUGACAUUGAUGCUCGAAAGUGUGGGGAUCAAACAGGAUUAGAUACCCUAGUAGUC
rnacentral:rRNA from 1 species